CACAAGCCUUAAAACAACUGAAGCCAAGGAAAGGUCUUGGGAGCUCAAUAGGGAGGCAAGGCAGCACUCCUACAGCUCAAACUCGAUGAGGAAAGGGUGAAAGCCACUAGACUGGUUGGGGAGGAGCCCCCUUGCACGACAGAAGCAAGGGAAGCCUCUAACAAGUAGCAAGAAAUGACAAUUCUCGUCGUAGAAAUACCCAAUAAAUAAAGAAAAAUUCUCUCUUAGAGAGUGUUGUUUUUUAUUAUUAGUUAGUGCUAUAUGAUUAAUUAGGUGUUUGAGAGUAAUAAUUUAAAAAUUCACAAAUUAGAG
rnacentral:misc_RNA from 1 species